rnacentral:rRNA from 1 species
GACGUACUGCGCGAACGUUAUUCGGAAUCACUGGGCUUAAAGGGUGCGCAGGCGGCUCGCCAAGCCCGAAGUGAAAUGCCCCGGCCCAACCGGGGACGUGCUUCGGGGACUGGCGGGCUCGGGCGAGCUAGGGGUCUGUGGAACUCCCGGUGGAGCGGUGAAAUGUGUUGAGAUCGGGAGGAACGCCGGUGGCGAAAGCGACAGACUGGGGCUUUGCCGACGCUCAUGCACGAAAGCCAGGGGAGCGAACGGG